UAUUCUCCAAAAACCUAAUUCCCCGAUCCCUUCUUCUCCUCACACGCGACGCCGCGCGAUUCUCCUCCUCUCGCGGCGGAAACGAAGAAGCAGGCUUAGGGCUUCACUCCGGUGAGCACCCUCCUCCGUGGGUUCUUCACAUAUCCGAGCUCCUCUCGGCAAGGUGAGCGCGCGGGCACAAGAAGGGGGCCGAGAUCUUCAUCCCUCUGAACCCUAGCAGCCCUUCCUUCAGUUGUAAGUCCAAGAACAGUAGAUAAAGGAAAAGCUAAAGUAUAAAGAGGAAGGCGACAAGGAGGAUGUGUGAUGGAUGUGUGUGAUGCCAGAACUAUGGAGAGAUCUGGGAAGCUAUGAGUUCAUGUUUAGUGGUUGAGAAAUAGAUGAGUUGUACUUUAUGGUUUGUGUCAUUUGAGUUUGUAUUUUUAUUCCUUGUUUUUAUUGAGUUUAUUCGUGUCUUAGAUUGCUUGCUGUGAUGAGUCUCUAUGCAAUAAGUAGUUAUUUCAGUGUUUGACACUUAUUAAA